rnacentral:rRNA from 1 species
UGCUAGCGGCGCGCCUAACACAUGCAAGUCGAGCGGUAGUAUUUUCUAGCUUGCUAGAGAAUAUGAGAGCGGCGAACGGGUGAGUAACACGUUGAUAUCUGCCCAUAGGUCAGGGAUAGCCCAGGGAAACCUGGAUUAAUACCGGAUAGUCUCUUCGGAGUAAAAAUUUAUUGCCUAUGGAGGAGUCUGCGGUCUAUCAGCUUGUUGGUGAGGUAAUAGCUCACCAAGGCUAUGACGGAUACCUGGUCUGAGAGGAUGAUCAGGCACAAUGGAACUGAGACACGGUCCAUACUCCUACGGGAGGCAGCAGUGAGGAAUCUUCCACAAUGGACGAAAGUCUGAUGGAGCGACACCGCGUGAAGGAUGAAUGUCUAACGACUGUAAACUUCUUUUCUGAGGGAGCAUAAUGAGAGUACCUCAGGAAUAAGGGACGGCUAAUUACGUGCCAGCAGCCGCGGUAAUACGUAAGUCUCAAGCGUUAUCCGGAAUUACUGGGUGUAAAGGGUUCGUAGGCGGUGAAGAAAGUUAAAUAUUAAAGACCGGGGCUCAACCUCGCGUUUGUAUUUAAAACUACUUCACUAGAAUUAGGGAGAGGUAAGCGGAAUUCUAAGUGUAGGGGUGCAAUCCGUAGAUACUUAGAGGAACACCAAAAGCGAAGGCAGCUUACUGGAACUAUAUUGACGCUCAUGAACGAAAGCGUGGGGAGCGAAAAGGAUUAGAUACCCUUGUAGUCCACGCCCUAAACGAUGAUAACUAAGUGUUGGGACUCGAUCCCAGUGCUGUAGCUAACGCGUUAAGUUAUCCACCUGAGGAGUACGGUCGCAAGAUUAAAACUCAAAGGAAUAGACGGGGACCCACACAAGCAGUGGAUCACGUGGUUUAAUUCGACAAUAAACGGGGAACCUUACCCAGACUUGACAUCUACCGAAUCGGCUAGAGAUAGUCGAGUGCCCUUCGGGGAACUCAGUGACAGGUGCUGCAUGGCUGUCGUCAGCUCGUGUCGUGAGAUGUUGGGUUAAGUCCCGCAACGAGCGCAACCCCUAUCUUUAGGUACCAUCAUUCAGUUGGGGACUCUAGAGAGACUGCCAGUGUAAUAAACUGGAGGAAGGUGGGGACGACGUCAAGUCAUCAUGGUCCUUAUGUCCAGGGCUACACACGUGCUACAAUGGCCGGUACAGAGGGAAGCAAUACCGCGAGGUGGAGCCAAUCUCAGAAAGCCGGUCUCAGUUCGGAUUGGAGUCUGCAACUCGACUCCAUGAAGUUGGAAUCGCUAGUAAUCGCGUAUCAGCAUAACGCGGUGAAUACGUUCCCGGGCCUUGUACACACCGCCCGUCAAGUCAGCCGAGUUGAUUGCACCCGAAGAAGGUGAGCUAACCGCAAGGAGGCAGCUUUCGAAGGGUGU